CACUUCAAGCUGCCUCAGCCACCUCAGCCAGUAGCUGAUUCCACUUUGCAGCCCACGUGGAAUUUGCCACAGGACUUCUGUUGAAUAUUUUCCUGUCUAUGUUUUGGGCCACGGACAUUAGGACUAGUGGAAGUGCAACUGGACAACAGCCUUCCACUGGCUCUAGCCAUACCACAAUAAGGACUGGAGUACUGCGUGUCAGCUGAGAUGUGCAAACCAGGGGAUGAGACUCCUGAUUUCCAUCCACAUGAGACUGAAAGCACUGCCUAGAACAAGACUAAGCAAGCAGGGCUGUUACAAAAUGCCAAGUCUUCCCCCAGGAAUGAUGCAUACCACAAGACUCCUGGAACUGAGGAGGGAAUGUGAUAAACAGUAUGGGUUUGUUUUUAGAGGAAAUAUGCUGCUGUCUCUGCUGAGAAGCUUAGAGAAGUGGGGUGGAGGUGGUAUUUCUUUUUUUUAAAGCCAUCAGCAACUGUUGUCUGCAACCA